GAAAACCUGCUUCCCACCACUACUCACUGAACUGAGGCUUUGCUGUGCCAAAUCCUUGGGUUUAAGGAAAAAAAAAAAAAAAAAAAAAAAAAAAAAAAAAGGACAUCUGUUGCUUUGUUUCGGGUUUUUCUGACAUGAUGUUGACACUGUGCAACAGGUUAGGAGGUGAUCAUGUUCGCCAAUCUCUGGUCUCCCUGGUGAAUACAGAAUGCUUCAGUAGAAAUCAGCUACUUCUGACAAUGUUUGACAUCUCUGGAGGAUCAGUGUCAUAUCAAUAGUGCACCAUAUUGACAAGGUUAACCUUUCCUUUGAACUGGAAGAAAACAUACCAGAACAAUAAAAACCACAGCGAGAGUGAGGUUUGCCCUGGGACUGUGAGGUCCAGACUUUCAGAUAAGAAACCUGGUGCAUAAAGAAGUUUGAGCAAUAACAAGUUGUUGUUUUGUUGUGCCUUACGUUCUUCAGCAAGCAAUUAAGAUGAAAAAGCAGCUGAGAGAAAUCUCUGACUGCAGGUCACAGCACAUAUGAUGACAAAUUCAGGAGUGGUACCUGCUUCUUUCUGUGACUGAAGGAGGAUCAGCCAGUACAAAGACAUUAGUACAGCAUAGAAACUUGCCUAACAUUUAACCACAAGCAUUCAGGGCUGUAAGUCUCGUGCUGACCUUGAAUUUCACAUUAUUAGUCUUCCCACAAAAAUUUUACGUGUUGAAAUACAGUGUGAACACAGAAUAUACAUCCUCAAUUCUGCUUUGAUAGUGCAAAUCUGGUUGAAAUCUUGGUCAGUAGUCUGACUACAUUUAAGAUUCUCAGGAUGCUUUUCAACCCAGUCUAGAGGGGUGCAGAGGAUUUUGCCCACAGUGAGAUCCUGAAGAGGAAUGAUUUUGGUAUGGAUAACUUCCCUGAGAAGAAAGCCAAUCUAUAGAAGCUCUGCAGAACCCUGCAGUGGUGCAACUCAAUUACAGUUCUUUCCACUUUAUUCUAAAUAUGAAGCUCUGCCAACAGUAGGGGGGAACUAAGAUCACAUCUACAAAUAAAUACUAGUAAAUAUAGUGUCUUGACUAACUUGUCAGGACUAACUCCUCUUCAGUUGAAAGUUAUCCAGAAAUUCUUAAAUAUUCUUUUGAAUCACGAACGUGCAACUGUGUUCCAAAGCCUCUCUUACUACCCAGCAUUCUAUAGAAGCAGUCAUUACCUUUGUUUUCUUCUUUCCUAGGGGAAGCUCUGGAUCUGACUAUAGACAUACAGCUUGAGGGCUUCAUCACUUUCAAUUUCACUUCACUUGCAUAUGCAAGGCAAACACAAGCCUACAGUUCUCCCUCAUUGGCUUUUAGCACAGAGGAACAAGAUCUCCACCCCAUAACAAAAUAAAGCUGCAAAGAUGUGCUGUAAUUGGUGCCAGGUGGAUGGGCUUAUCCACUAACCAAUACUAUCUAUACAUUCAUUUCUGUUUAGAAAUUAUGGAAAUGAGACACCUAGAUACUUCUCAUAUUGGUUUUAAAUAGGAAGCCCUGCUGGAGUCACCGUUACUAAUUGCUCCCAAAGGAGAUACCAGUAUCAGUCGAUACUGUCAACAUUUUUGACCUUAACUUUCUAUUGCUUGGAGCAGGUCCACACCAUAGCCUCAUAAUCCACACUCCCCUUAAAACUCAAAGUUCUAACCCAAAGCUCAAAGACAACUGCAUCCACGAGUUUUGUAAGAGCUCCUUGCUACUCUUCUGCAAAGAAAUUUACAUUCACACACUAAAACACUAAAAAGAAGCCCCAGAAAACCUGAACUAAUUAAUCACUAAGGAGAGGUCUCUUGCCAUUCUCUGAAGAUCUUCUCUAGUUCAAUACACUUUAUCAGACUUCUGUCUGACUAAUUUCUGUUUGCUUCCGUAACUAAUUAAAUUGAUGCUGAGCUGGGCAAAAUUCAUAAUCCUGUAGCUAUCUGACCAGUUCAAUGUGCAUUUUGCUUUUCUUGCCCGGAUAUCUCAUUCAUGUGCUAUAAAUAUGAUUGGCAAACAUAAUCAGGUUUAAUAUUUCAUCAUCUUAUUUCUCUAAGUCACUUUUCCUUUUCUCUACCUCAAGGGAAAAAACAAACAAACAAACCUUGGUGCUGCUAGGCAUUAUUCCAGCAAAGCAGAUAUCAUUCUUCAUGAAAACCUCAUUUUUCUUCCUUCUAAAGUUUUAAUUUUGUUUGAGCUCAAAUGAUUGCAUGGUUGAUAGACAGAGGAGUAGACAUACACAUGGCCAGAAGGAAGCUAUUAGAGAUAACCUCCCUCUGAGCUAUUUCUUCUCUUGGUCAACAUUUACCUGAGGCCCAUCAGCUUUCGCCCAUGUUGGCUUAGUGAUGAUAUGGCUCAUAUGUAAGCCAAUUCAUUACACGUUUGGGAGAUUUUACAUUUCUGGCAGAAAUUAAGUUUGUAUGCACACAUUUAUAAUAUUUCUUAACUGCUUCAUUUUCUUUUUCUGAAAUUUUAGGUUUCUGUCAAACUGCUCUUUUUCCUUUAAUUACACACCAAAAAUCUUUUCCUUCAAUAUCCAUGCUGGACUCUUUUAUCACCACAAUAUUUAUUGCUAACUGACCCAUGGAACCUAUUCAGUACAUAACCCCCUUUUUUUCUCCUUUGACCACAGUCCAUUUCCCCCGUGUGCAUGUAUUUCUCUCACUACCCCUAUCUCAUCCCAUCCCAUUAGCUCUCUGUGCUGAAUAGCCUGUUCCAGGACAUCAAACUUUAAUUUAAACAGAAGAUGAUCAAUACGCUUAGCAAAUUGCCCAUGGCAACAUCAGCAGUUUGAAUCAAAGGGUUUUAUAGGUAAUUUAAAGGGCAUUCUCAUUCACUCCCACAAUGUAGCAUAUACCUAUUGCUUGCUUUGCCAGUUACAGCUCAGCUGUCUGAACAAGAGGAGUAAGAGCUUUUUCUCCACACUCAAACAGUGAAACUGUACACAGCAGCUAUAUGACAGUGUGCCCUGAAACUGAAAAAGGCUGGGCAUCUCAGGGGAAAAAAAAUUAAAAAAAAUCAAAUGAAGACUUGUUUUAAAAAAAAAAAACAAACAAACUCAACAGAGCUUAAAAUCAUAAUCAGGACUAAAGAAAUAGAGAUGUAAAAAGGAAAUACAUACAAUCCUCAGUCUAGUCCUGUUUUGCUGGUGCUGUAUCUUGGGACCACCGUAUUUUCAUGUAACAGAAAGGAGACUAUCUUCAGUGUUUCUGGAGCCUUGCCAGUCUAACUUUCAGAUAUCUUAGGUAAAUGUAGUGUCCAUGUCCAAGAGUUUGCUGAAGAAAAGCUGCUUCUAUAACCCCAAUUUUGAAGACAUCUUGUUUUGUGCCAAAUGUACGCCAAUCUGGAUGGUCAUUUCUUUCAAGUUGCAAAUGCUUUUUUAUUAAACUUCUCUUGAGAACACGAAGAGCUGAUCUGAAUAGACUGCGAGGGCAAUGAACUUUGGUGAUGGCUAAAAAGAGCUGAUGGCUGUCUGACACAUGGCUAGCUGCUCUAAUGACUUCCCUCCCUCUUCAGCUCUUGCACUAGGAGUAGAUAAAGACACAACCUUGGUAUACACCUACUGCUUUUAUAAAUUUGAGCUACCAGAUGUCUUUGUUGGAAGAAGAAACCUGCUACCGUGUAUGGGAGAGAAUACAAGAGAUGGCCAUGAAUGCAAGCAUCACCUGGAUGCUUGUAUUGCUUGCUCAGUCAGCCAGUCUGAGAGGGAAAGUAAAAGGCUCCAAAGAUGUCCUGCAGAGUUAGUGAAAUGUUUUGUUACAGAGGCUGGUAGUUUCAGUAACCAGAGGUGAAAUACAGAAAAGGGAUCUACAGAAAAUGAUGGGCUUGGUAUAUAAAUCUAGAAAGUCACUACAGUAUGAGAGCAGAUUUUCAUUCACCAUUUAAGCCUGUGACAAGGUACAAGACUUGGAUAAUCCCAGACAUCCUGAGGGUCCUGCAGAACCAAGGCAGCAGACAGACCCUAGUAAGACAUUCACGGCAGAGGAAAUCAAAAUCAGGCAUACACUGGGGUGUAUCUAUCUCCAGUUCCCAUUGGGAAAGGCCUCUGGACCAUGUUUCAGAAGCACAAAUGUAGCAUGCUAUUAUUUAGCAGCACAUGGGGCCAAUAAGACCCUUGUAAGAGGAGACAUACAUUUCUAAAGGCACUUAGCUCCUAGCUGGCUCUGGGUCGGAAAUUACACAAUGGAUGUUGAAAUGUUGGUUUGUUGAAAAUUUGUCAUUCAAGUAAUGAAUGUCUUACUUCCUGUUUUUGCUGAAAGCUGAAGAGAAACAUAAUUAGAAAGAGAGAAAGCAACCUUGGCAGUCAAACAAAAAAAGCACAUUUCGGGCUGCUGAGCCAAUUAAAAUUGUUUAUGUAGCCCACGAACAAUAUUUUUCUCCCCAUCAUUAUAACUAAGAGAAUUCAUCAAAACUCAGCCAGAUUUGCUUGUAGGCAACCUGAUCCCUUGUCACACUCUGGACUAUUAGCACCCAGGGAAGAACUCAGGGCACCCUGUAAAGUCCAGAAUGUGCAUAGGGAGCAAAAAGAAUCAUAGAAUCAUCGAAGAAUGGCCUGGGCUGAAAAGACCUCAAAGAUGAUCUAGUUUCUACCCCCUACUAUGUGCGGGGUUGCCAACCACUAACCCAGGUUGUCCAGAGCUACAUCCAGCCUGGCCCUGAAUGCCACCAGGGAUGGGGCAUCCACAGCCUUUCUGAGCAAAGAAAAGAUGGGGAACUGAGAGGGUCCAAGUCCAGACUUUUGGUUCUGAAUGGGUCCCCAACAUUCAGGAAUGACUCGUUCCCUCAGCCUACUGCUACUUUGCCACGAUAAGCAUGGGAAUUCAGAAAGCAGUGGAUGAUUGAAGAUUUCUGACAUUUGAGGUGUCACUCCCAACAUUUCAUUUAAUAUUUUUUUAAAAAUAUUUUUAUCAAAACUUCACAAUUCACAGUUAUGAACUUUCACAAUUGAAAUAUAUAUUCAGCUUAGGAUAGGAAUCUCUUUUUUUGAGCUUUUCUUUUAUGUAAAAAAAAUGAGUUAUUUCUCUUUUAAUUCUAGAAACUCACAUUUCAAUAAACCUCUACUAUUUUCCUUUUUAUGUUGGAAUCCAUACUCCACUGAACACGGAUGCUCAGAAACUGAGUUUCUCAUGAUGUAAAGUCUGAUUUAUUUAUUUUACCAUGUGAGGAAAGGACUCAAAUCCAAAGGGCUGGGCAGAUAUUACUGCUUUUUAGUACAGUGCUCAUCUGCUCCUCUCAUAACAAGAUAUUACGCUUUUCACUUGCCUUUGAAUUCUGUCUUUUCAUUCCUGGAUACGUAGUAAUUUUGCUUGUAAUAUUUUAAUGCUAUUACUAUUAUUAUUAUUAUUGUUAAUUGGCCUGCUUUAUUACUUUGGUUGAAAGUUAUACAUGCCGUGAAAUAAGCAGAAGUGAACAGAUCAAUAAAGAGGAUAAACAAUUUUUCUGUUAUACAGCCAAAGCAAUAA